UACGGAGGGGGCUAGCGUUGUUCGGGAUUACUGGGCGUAAAGCGCACGUAGGCGGCUUUGUAAGUUAGAGGUGAAAGCCCGGAGCUCAACUCCGGAAUUGCCUUUAAGACUGCAUCGCUUGAAUCAUGGAGAGGUGAGUGGAAUUCCGAGUGUAGAGGUGAAAUUCGUAGAUAUUCGGAAGAGCACCAGUGGCGAAGGCGACUCACUGGACAUGUAUUGACGCUGAGGUGCGAAAGCGUGGGGAGCAAACAGG
rnacentral:rRNA from 1 species